GAUGAACGCUAGCUACAGGCUUAACACAUGCAAGUCGAGGGGAAACGACAUCGAAAGCUUGCUUUUGAUGGGCGUCGACCGGCGCACGGGUGAGUAACGCGUAUCCAACCUGCCCAUCACUUGGGGAUAACCUUGCGAAAGUAAGACUAAUACCCAAUGAUAUCUCUAGAAGACAUCUGAAAGAGAUUAAAGAUUUAUCGGUGAUGGAUGGGGAUGCGUCUGAUUAGCUUGUUGGCGGGGUAACGGCCCACCAAGGCGACGAUCAGUAGGGGUUCUGAGAGGAAGGUCCCCCACAUUGGAACUGAGACACGGUCCAAACUCCUACGGGAGGCAGCAGUGAGGAAUAUUGGUCAAUGGGCGAGAGCCUGAACCAGCCAAGUAGCGUGCAGGAAGACGGCCCUAUGGGUUGUAAACUGCUUUUAUAAGGGAAUAAAGUGAGUCUCGUGAGACUUUUUGCAUGUACCUUAUGAAUAAGGACCGGCUAAUUCCGUGACAGCAGCCGCCGCGG
rnacentral:rRNA from 1 species